UAGGAGAGUUUUUUUGUUUCUCUGUAAUAAUGCGUUUUGGCUCUGUUUCUACACUCAAAAAAGACUCCAUAAUCUCUGCGGUGGAUUUACCCACUGCAGAAAUUAUAGAGCC
rnacentral:ncRNA from 1 species